rnacentral:piRNA from 1 species
UGAUCCUUCAGGAAUGGGCCAUCAGU